AUUACAUCUUGGCCUUUUGGCUAAGAUCAAGUGUAGUACCUGUUUUUUACCAGUUUAGUAAAAUCAGUUACAGUUUUCAUUCCAUUUGCUGUCCAAGUCAUCCCUUAUUUACCCUUU
rnacentral:snRNA from 1 species